CGACAGGCUUAACACAUGCAAGUCGAGGGGCAGCACAGGUAGCAAUACCGGGUGGCGACCGGCGCACGGGUGAGUAACGCGUAUGCAACUUACCUAUCAGAGGGGGAUAACCCGGCGAAAGUCGGACUAAUACCGCAUGAAGCAGGGGUCCCGCAUGGGGAUAUUUGCUAAAGAUUCAUCGCUGAUAGAUAGGCAUGCGUUCCAUUAGGCAGUUGGCGGGGUAACGGCCCACCAAACCGACGAUGGAUAGGGGUUCUGAGAGGAAGGUCCCCCACAUUGGUACUGAGACACGGACCAAACUCCUACGGGAGGCAGCAGUGAGGAAUAUUGGUCAAUGGGCGUAAGCCUGAACCAGCCAAGUCGCGUGAGGGAUGAAGGUUCUAUGGAUCGUAAACCUCUUUUAUAAGGGAAUAAAGUGCGGGACGUGUCCCGUUUUGUAUGUACCUUAUGAAUAAGGAUCGGCUAACUCCGUGCCAGCAGCCGCGGUAAUACGGAGGAUUCGAGCGUUAUCCGGAUUUAUUGGGUUUAAAGGGUGCGUAGGCGGCCUUUUAAGUCAGCGGUGAAAGUCUGUGGCUCAACCAUAGAAUUGCCGUUGAAACUGGGGGGCUUGAGUAUGUUUGAGGCAGGCGGAAUGCGUGGUGUAGCGGUGAAAUGCUUAGAUAUCACGCAGAACCCCGAUUGCGAAGGCAGCCUGCCAAGCCAUGACUGACGCUGAUGCACGAAAGCGUGGGGAUCAAACAGGAUUAGAUACCCUGGUAGUCCACGCAGUAAACGAUGAUCACUAGCUGUUUGCGAUACAGUGUAAGCGGCACAGCGAAAGCGUUAAGUGAUCCACCUGGGGAGUACGCCGGCAACGGUGAAACUCAAAGGAAUUGACGGGGGCCCGCACAAGCGGAGGAACAUGUGGUUUAAUUCGAUGAUACGCGAGGAACCUUACCCGGGUUUGAACGCAUUCGGACCGAGGUGGAAACACCUUUUCUAGCAAUAGCCGUUUGCGAGGUGCUGCAUGGUUGUCGUCAGCUCGUGCCGUGAGGUGUCGGCUUAAGUGCCAUAACGAGCGCAACCCUUGCCACUAGUUACUAACAGGUGAUGCUGAGGACUCUGGUGGGACUGCCAGCGUAAGCUGCGAGGAAGGCGGGGAUGACGUCAAAUCAGCACGGCCCUUACAUCCGGGGCGACACACGUGUUACAAUGGCGUGGACAAAGGGAAGCCACCUGGCGACAGGGAGCGAAUCCCCAAACCACGUCUCAGUUCGGAUCGGAGUCUGCAACCCGACUCCGUGAAGCUGGAUUCGCUAGUAAUCGCGCAUCAGCCAUGGCGCGGUGAAUACGUUCCCGGGCCUUGUACACACCGCCCGUCAAGCCAUGGGAGCCGGGGGUACCUGAAGUCCGUAACCGCGAGGAUCGGCCUAGGGUAAAACUGGUGACUGGGGC
rnacentral:rRNA from 1 species